rnacentral:sRNA from 1 species
GCAUGGCGUCCGUGGCGCUGAGCGAGGCGGAGAAGGUGUACAUCGUCCACGGCGUCCAGUUCAGCCAGUGCUACCCCUGAAUUUGAAGGUAGAGGAGGUGAUGACCUUGGCACCGAGAUCGCUAACACCCUCUAUCGGAUAUUUAACAAUAAAAGCAGUGUCGACCUAAAGACCCUCUGCAUUAGUCCUCGGGAGCACUGCUGGGUUCUCUAUGUGGAUGUGCUGUCUGCCUGAAGGGGACCAAGGUGCACAUGAAAUGCUUUCUGGCCUUCACCCAGACGAAGACCUUCCACGAGGCCAGCGAGGACUGCAUCUCGCGCGGGGGCACACUGGGCACCCCUCAGACUGGCUCGGAGAACGACGCCCUGUAUGAGUACCUGCGCCAGAGCGUGGGCAACGAGGCCGAGAUCUGGCUGGGCCUCAACGACAUGGCGGCCGAGGGCACCUGGGUGGACAUGACCGGCGCCCGCAUCGCCUACAAGAACUGGGAGACUGAGAUCACCGCGCAACCCGAUGGCGGCAAGACCGAGAACUGCGCGGUCCUGUCAGGCGCGGCCAACGGCAAGUGGUUCGACAAGCGCUGCCGCGAUCAGCUGCCCUACAUCUGCCAGUUCGGGAUCGUGUAGCCGGCGGGGCGGGGGCCGUGGGGGGCCUGGAGGAGGGCAGGGGCCGCGGGAGGCCGGGAGGAGGGUGGGGACCUUGCAGCCCCCAUCCCCUCCGUGCGCUUGGAGCCUCUUUUUGCAAAUAAAGUCGGUGCAGCUUCGCGGA